rnacentral:lncRNA from 1 species
AUCACAGAGGAGUAGGUCGCCGCCGUCUUGCAGACAAAGCACCAGUCCUCUGAUUCGUCCGCAUCCUCCUCUUUCUUUUCAUCCUCUUUAGAAGACUUCAUUUCUGCUGAGAAUUCUAGAACUCCUCUUCUUCCAGCUCAGAACAUAGAUACAGCUUAAUCAGAAGUAACAUCUACAGGCUAAGCAGAAGAGGAAAUAAAAAUUCUCCCCUCUGCCUUGCAAAGCAAGAAACCAAAAGAAGAAACCAUAGAAUCGCGAAAUCGUUUUGGUUUAAACUUUAAAACCAAACAGUGCCCUAAAUGUAGCCAUGUGAAGAACUGGUAAUGCAGCUUUAAUGGAGGUCGAUUCUCACCUUUCACAGUUCAAGACGGCAGAGAAUAGACGCUUGUGCGCUGGAGGAUUGCUUGGUUUCCUUGUUGAAAAUGAGAGAUUUUGAAUAGACCUUUUAGUUUUCCCUCCUCAUGUUCUUCAUAUAAAAGCAUUUAAAUCGGAACUGAAACGCGAGAGAGGGGGAAGAGGGAGAGUAGGACUGCUUUUUCAUAUCCUCAGUUAGAUAUUAUUUUCAACCAAUCAUUAUAUGCCACGUGGAUGCGCUGGUAGGC